rnacentral:rRNA from 1 species
UAAAUACCUUACAGAGGUCUCGUUAACCGAGAUCUCUCAAACGGAAUGAGUACAACGUGAAUCCUUUAACGAGGAUCAACUGGAGGGCAAGCCUGGUGCCAGCAGCCGCGGUAAUUCCAGCUCCAGUAGCGUAUAUUAAAGCUGUUGCGGUUAAAAAGCUCGUAGUUGGAUAUCAGUGCGUGUCCGGUCCGGUAUGCCCGGUACCGAUGCGGCAACGCGUCGGCCGCCGGGCUCCCAAAUAUCGGCUGGCCGCAUUCAAUCGUGCCGGACCCGUCGACGGGCCGUUCUUCGGAGGGGCCUGUUGGCGACCGGCGACGUUACCUUGAACAAAUUAGAGUGCUCAAAGCAGGCUCUGAAUGCCUGUAUACAUAUUCAUGGAAUUGGAGAAUACGUCCCUGGCUCGAUUUGGUUGGUUUUGAGAGUCGAAGGGAAAUGAUUAAUAGGGACUGACGGAGGCAUUCGUAUUGCGACGCGAGGGGUGAAAUCCUGUGACCGUCGCACGACGAACUACUGCGAAAGCAUUUGCCGAGAAUGUUUUCAUUAGUCAAGAACGAAAGUUAGAGGUUCGAAGGCGAUCAGAUACCGCCCUAGUUCUAACCGUAAACGAUGUCGACCAGCAAUCCGCAACGGUCACUACACGGACUGUGCGGGCAGCUUUCCCGGAGAAAUCAGAGUGUUCGGACUCCGGGGGGAGUAUGGUUGCAAAGGCAAAACUUAAAGGAAUUGACGGAAGGGCACCACCAGGAGUGGAGCUUGCGGCUUAAUUUGACUCAACACGGGACAACUCACCAGGCCCGGACACCGUAAGGAUUGACAGACUGAUAGCUCUCUCUUGAUUCAGUGGGUGGUGGUGCAUGGCCGUUCUUAGUUGGUGGAGUGAUUUGUCUGGUUUAUUCCGAUAACGAACGAGACUCUGGCCUAUUAAACUUGAUGGCGUCAGUCAUUAUGUGACUGCGUCAUGCUUCUUAGAGGGAUCAUCGGCGUCCCAGCCGAAGGAAAGGGAGCAAUAACAGGUCUGUGAUGCCCUUAGAUGUUCUGGGCUGCACGCGUGUUACACUGAAGUGGUCAGCGCGCCGUUUCACGUCCCUCUCCGUGAGGAGCGGGCAAACGUUUGAACCCUUUUCGUGAUGGGAAUUGGGGGUUGCAAUUGUCCCCCAUGAACGAGGAAUUCCAAGUAAGCGCAGGUCACUAGCCUGCGUUGAUUAAGUCCCUGCCCUUUGUACACACCGCCCGUCGCUACUACCGAUGGAUGAUUUGGUGAGGUCGCCUAGACUGGCCGCUGGCUUCGGCCGUGCGGCCGGGAAGACGCCCAAACUUGGUCGUCUAGAGGAA